GGCAGGGGGAAGGAACUUCUGCAGUAUAGGAAGGGGCUUCUGCAGCUGAUGAUGAGGAGACUGUGUCACUGUACUCCAGAAGGCCUGAGGAUCCAGACGCAGUAGGCUACAGCCUGGCAGCCAGCCUGGCAACAUAGUAAGUAUGGGCUAAAGGAAAUCUAAAUCAUGCACAAUUCCUGCUGUGCUAAUCAAUGGGUGGUUUAUAGAAUUCACAAACUGUCAGAUGUCUCUACUCAACAUCUGAAAAAGCUAAUUGAGCUGGCAGAUGCACAGAUUGCGGUCAGUAAAGGUCUCCAGGAUCUAGACCUUGGUAUUGAAAUCAAGAAGAAAACACUGAGGAAACUGUAUCUGGAGAUAAAGAAA